AAGAGAAGAAAACUAUGAAUUGAUUUUUGCAAAAGGAAAUCAUUCGAGCCAUUGGCGAACAUCAAAAUUUGCUCGCUACAUUUUGCAGAAGACGCGUACGAAACAGGGUGUACAAAGAAAUUUCUUCAUCAAAUAGAGUGCGAGGAAUCAUUUCGAUUACGGUUAAAGAGCAAUGCUGUGCCAACAUUAAACAAACCAUUAUCUGUAACCCCAUCAACUAAGUGGCAUUUUUUCUAAGAAAAGCAACGUAAAAAGGACAUUACAGAACUUUUAGCAGAUAGUGAAACCCCUAUUACACAAGAAUAAUCUAAUGAAGACGAAGAAACAGAAAA